rnacentral:rRNA from 1 species
AAUAGAUACCCUGGUAGUCCAUGCCGUAAACGAUGAGUACUAGCUGUCUGGGGUAUCGACUCCCUGGGUAGCGAAGCAAACGCGAUAAGUACUCCGCCUGGGGACUACGGCCGCAAGGCUAAAACUCAAAGGAAUUGACGGGGACCCGCACAAGCGGCGGAGCAUGCGGAUUAAUUCGAUGCAACGCGAAGAACCUUACCAAGGCUUGACAUACACCAGAACACCCUAGAAAUAGGGGACUCUUUGGACACUGGUGAACAGGUGGUGCAUGGUUGUCGUCAGCUCGUGUCGUGAGAUGUUGGGUUAAGUCCCGCAACGAGCGCAACCCUCGUUCUAUGUUGCCAGCACGUAAUGGUGGGAACUCAUGGGAUACUGCCGGGGUCAACUCGGAGGAAGGUGGGGAUGACGUCAAAUCAUCAUGCCCCUUAUGUCUUGGGCUUCACGCAUGCUACAAUGGCCGGUACAAAGGGCUGCAAUACCGUGAGGUGGAGCGAAUCCCAAAAAGCCGGUCCCAGUUCGGA